rnacentral:miRNA from 1 species
UGUCCGGCUGGAAGGGUUUCCUUCCAGCCGGCGAGGUGCAUGUACCUCGCCGGCUGGAAGGAAAUCCUUCCAGUCGACGAGGCA